CAGGAAUCACAAACGGUGUAGUGAGCGUGCCAACGGGAGGAAAGACCGGCUCCGGGUGUACGCGAACCGCAAUCACCACAAACUCUGCAACACUGAGAAAAGGGAUAAUUGAAGAGGAAAAAUGUGAAGCUUGUCCGAUAUGAUUGCUGCAAAAUAAUGCAAGCAAAUUUAAGACUUGGAAGGCACCAGAAGCAGUUGCACAUGGAAAAUGAUAAACUUUUGUACAUCCUUCAAUUUUACACAAAAUACUCGCUCCAUAGUGAUUACAAAAUGAACACUUCCUGGAAGAACUUUGUAAAACGGCUGGGCCCACAUUUUCGAGCGCUGAAUUUUCUAAAUUAAAAAAAAUAACUCAUUUAUUUGAUAGUUUUUAGAGGUGUUUUUACCAUUUUUGGUAACACCGUGGGACCACUGAGCACAGCUCCUGUGAGUAUAAAAAUAUCCGCUUGAGUCGAACAAAGUUGAAACGUGGGGCUCUUCCGUAUAGCCGAUGAUGGUCAACUCAUCAACAUAUUCACUCGUCAACGAUGGAUGUCUACACUUGUUGAAACUUUUCUGUCUGCGACAAGUGACAGGUCCUCUCGGACUCUUAUCUCCCGUUUCUCUUUCAGGAGUUGGUAAGUUACUACUCCCACUAUCCCCUUGGUCCUGCGCCACCCUCUGUGGCGUGAACCCUUCCGGACACAACAACCGCAACAUCUCACCCUGCCCUAACUGACUCCUUUCGCCCAGAUUACAAAACGCGCACACUUUUCCCGGCCACUGUUCGGGAAAGUAUGGCAGUUCCUCAAAAACCGGCGCCGGCUUUUCUUUCUCGAAAAUCAGCGCCCCCGUCUCGGGGUCUAGCGACAUUUCAUCGCUCGGUGACGGCGCGAUGGAAUUGAAAUCGAAUUCAAACGGUUUGAAUUUACGCCGCGGGGCACAGCCCUUUAACUUCUUGAUUUUGGGCGGCCGUCUCUGCGCCGGCUUACCUGUCAACAGCCCCGUUAGUAGCGAAAGCGUCUCGGGGUCGUGGCGGUCACCUUCGCGCCGGGGACGGCCGCGCCCCCUUUUCACGCUCAGGGGCUUGCCCGAGAAGCCGAAAGGCAGCGGGAAGUCGUCGUUAGGGGGCGACGACGCGGCCGAGGUCGCCCCGGACGAGGGGAACUGAAAGGGCGAGGGCAGGGGAUCGUCCAGCUCGUCCUCCUCUUCGUCGAGGUCUGAGCCCUCGUCGAGGUCCAUCAAGUCGUCGGGGUCGAGGGCCUGGCCGAGUUCCUCCAUAUUCACAAACUGGAAAAGACAAGGGGGUUACUCCGAGGGGCACCCGGAUUUAGCGCCGAGGAAAUCACAAUGAACCCCACCGCCAUGUCAAUUGUGUACAUGGAAGCGAUGCCGCGGCCAAAACAAACACACGAGGAAGCGGCGCGCGGACGCACACGGGGGUUGCAGCCACGGGGAAUUUACAGAUUUUCAUUGAAUUUCACUUACAUUAAACUAAUUUUUACAUGUUAAAGUUGUGUACACGGAACAACACAAAAAAAUGUCACUAGCUAAAGGAAAGUGGGAGAGACCAUCUCUUCGGUACCGCGACGGAAAUUGCCGAACGUGUGGCACGAUUACAAAGGACGACACCAACACAACAAACAAAAAAUUAAAGUCACCAGCAAAUUCAAAUUUUUGCACCAGUUGUAACACGCUUAUCAAGUUCAAGUUUACUUUGUUUGUAUAAAUUCAACACAUAUAACAAAGAAUAUUAUUUUUUUAGCUGAUA